ACUAAACAGAGCCGCCGCUUCUCUGACGAUUGGCCGACCUCCGGAGCGUCGUAGGCCUUGAUUAACCGAACAAAGAGUAAGGAAUCUCAUGGUGGUGGUGAUGUUUGCAGACGUGUCGGCUAGGGUUCCGGUGACCGUAGAUGGUCCGGUGGCUUACACACACGAUGGCAAGAGGCUAUAGGUGCGACUGUUGAUUACCUUCUCCAAUUUUCAGGCUUCCAACCCUCCAACAAGACGUGGCGGCUAGGGUUCCAGUGACCCUGGAUGGUGCGGUGGCGUACACACACGAUGGCAAGAGGCUAUAGACGCAACUGUUGAUUACCUUCUCCAAUUUUCAGGCUUUCAACCCUCCAACAAGUUGAUGAUUGUGAUUUAUAUCCUAAAUUUUUGGGGUGAUGGCGGUGGUCUGAAGCUGAGAUGACCUUGUGGGACUAUUUAGCAAUACCAAGGGCGGCAUCUCGCAACUCAUUGCCACAUUAUCGACAUAGUAACGUGAAUUUGGCAGUUGGACCGUAACUGGAUAUACAAAAACAGCAACGGGUUGCAUGUGUGAAAGGAGUGUAACAUAAACGAUGAGAGUGGCGGAUCUAUUUCAAAAGAAAAGAAAAAAGAAUACAGACAUGAGAGACAAAGAGAAAGAGAGAGAUGAAGGUGAGAGAAAGUGGGCAAGCCACAGGAAACUGGCCGGGUUCGUGGUAAGUCUUAACACACUAAACCGAGACUAAGGAAUCCGAUGGUGGUGACAGGCCAUUCAAUGGAACAGCAGUGGUGAUGUUCUCAGCGUAGAUGGUGUACUGAGGGUGGUCGGAAUACCACUGUCACCUUUGAUCGAGAUGGUAAGUAUUAUCUGCUACUUGACUCAUUGUUAUAUGGUUGGUUUUAUUAUCUGAUGCUUAGCAAUGAACAGUCAAUUUGUUAUGUGAUUGGUUUGGUUCUGAUCAUAAGUUAGUUUGGUUAAGGAUCCUUCAAAAUGUCCUUCUGCAAGAUAUAUAUGCCAUGAUCACUUUUGUCACACUUUGUAUUCCUAAAAUGAAGGGAUCUUUGCCUGUUUUUAUAGCUCCAAAUUCAUUCAUGUUCACUGUGAUAGUGAUUGGCCUUUAUAAAUAUGAUAGUAGGAGAUUGGAUGAAAAAAGAUUUGUUAGAGCACCUUUUAUGCGAUCCACAUGCAUCAAAAAGACUUUCCAAGAAGUUUAUUAUAAGGGAAUGAGUUUUUUUAUUCACCAUUCAUCGUUGUUAUGUGUCAUCUCAAAUUACACCAUCACCCUCUUUCAACUUUCAUGAAAAAUACUCAUCAUUCAUCUAUUACAUAAAGUUUCAACUACCUUCUUAUCAAUGUUAGUACAGUAGAUAGUUCUUGCACACAUUUCCCUUUCAUCUUCA